CUCUUCAUCAUCUUCCUCUUCUUCAUCUGACUCUUCUUUGGUCUCUUCUUGAAACUCCAGAUUUUCAAUAAUUGCCUGUUAACAGAGAAGGACAGGAUAAAAUGCCGAUCUUACAUAUUUACAAGGAUUUAUCCUUUUUAUAAGGAGGGGGCAGAUAUCAACGCUGCUAACAUCAGAUGUUUUUGCAAUGACAACAGAUUGUUCAUCAGAAAACAUUAAGGAACGUCAGCCUUCCCAAGCAGACUACACAGGAAACAUGACCAGGAAGUGCUUCAACAUGCUUAAAAGAAGAAAAUCACAGAAUUUAAAUACCAAGUAAACCAACCAGUACUCUAAGGAAUACACUAACUUGGAUGAUGAGCCCUUAUUUUAAGGUGAUAGAGGGGAAAAAAUGAACUGCCUGUCAAACAGUCCAACUAAAGCUCCCACUCCGGACUUCAAAAGAAACUGAGGAUGAGGAAAACCUUAAAUCCAAAUAUAAUCCCCCUUCCCUCAAAUACAGGCAGUGAAAGCUAAGAGUGGCAGCUAGCCUCUUGUAGAAGAGGAAAAGAAAAUAAAUGCCUCACCGAAAAAUAAACUUAUUGCUCAGGUAAUGACUGGUAUUUUCAUGGACAGAUGCCUUAAGUCACUCUAAAUUUCUUGUCUCUAUCUUCUAGCAAGGUCUCAUCUACUCAUCCAACGGUUUUGAAAUGUCAAGGAUCAAAAUUCUUAUGGAACGGAGAAUGUGGUAUACAGCACAUGUUAAAUAUCUAGCCAAGAUUUAGGUUUCAUCACUAGCUUCUAAGACCGUUUCUCCUUUGAUGCAAUGGAGAAGGAAAUCAAAUUGAACAAGGAAUGAGAAGUCUCGACAGAAAACUCUGUAGAAGAACUAGUUUACUAAAAUAUCAUUCAAGCACAACUGAGUUUUCGUUAUUUGGGGUUUUUUUUUUUUUUUACAUUUACUUGCUAGCAAGUAGGUCAUGAUGUUUAUGGAAUAAAGAUAAUAUAUGAGAACACUGUGAGCAGAUGAAUGAAACUGUUUCAACUACAUAUAAGGAAUGCUAAAAAAAGGUGACUCGGUUUCCACAAAGAACAAAGUGAAAAAUGAUCGAGGAUUUUAUAUCAAGCAGAAGAUACUUCAAUGCAGAACAAUUAAUUCUGGUAUAAUGCUAAGCAUUUAUGAAUUUCUGGUCACAAAGUACUGUGCAUUUUCUUCUAAAGCAUGGCUAUGGACACGUUUUAAAAAAAUUCAGAUAUGAAAAGUAAAUGAAAUAUUGGAUGAUGACUGAAGUGGGCUCUAUUACUCCAGCGCUAUUUGUAAAGGCUGCCAAAAAUGAGAAACAAAUGGAGGAGAAGCAGCUGUGGCACAAGUAGCACGUACACCACUUGCCUUCAUAUCUCUAGUUUUUCCCUGAAAAUGAGUAUUCAGGAAUGUUGAACAUCCUGGUAUAUAAGUCUGCUUGCUAAAAGUUAACAUCAUAGGGUCGUAGUUUCUCUUUAUAGCUACUUUUGCAAUAGAAAUAUUGAGAAAAAGCAAUGCCAAAGGUAAAUACCAAAUUGAAAAAUCUAUCUGAAAUAUGUUUUUUUUUUUUUAAUGUUCCAGCUU